rnacentral:rRNA from 1 species
GACGAACGCUGGCGGCGUGCUUAACACAUGCAAGUCGAACGGAAAGGCCCUGCUUUUGUGGGGUGCUCGAGUGGCGACCUGGUGAGUAACACGUGAGUAACCUGCCCUUGACUUUGGGAUAACUUCAGGAAACUGGGGCUCAUACCGGCUAGGAGCUCCUGCUGCAUGGUGGGGGUUGGAAAGUUUCGGCGGUUGGGGAUGGACUCGCGGCUUAUCAGCAUGUUGGGGGGGUAGUGGCUUACCAUGGCUUUGACGCGUAGCAGGCCUGAGAGGGUGACCGGCCAAAUUGGGACUGAGAUGCGGCCCAGACUCCUACGGGAGGCAGCAGUGGGGUAUAUUACACAAGGGGAGGAAGCCUGAUCCAGCAACGCCGCGUGCGGGAUGACGGCCUGCGGGUUGUAAACCGCUUUCGCCUGUGACGAAGCGUGAGUGACGGUAAUGGGUAAAGAAGCACCGGCUAACUACGUG